AGAUGAAUUUGUUUGUCAGUUAAAAGUUAAACUGCUGUGCACAUGAGAAAUAUGAGUUUCAAAGGGAUUUGAAUUGAUGAGUGAAGCUGCAAAUCAAACAGGUGUGAUGAGCGAGUAAUGAAGCCGAGGACGAGAGGCACCGCUCCGUCGGAGGAGAGAAACCACCGAGUUGAUGCUGCCCCUCUCAGCGACAUGAAGCCGCCGCCUCAGACAUGUAGCUGUUGUGCUUUUCUACUCCUCGUUAUCUCGCCCUCCACUUAAAUAGUUAGUUUGGUCUCCUCUCUCUGAGAUGUGUGCAGUGGAGAUAAUUACAAUUUCAGCAGCGUUUGCCAGUGAUUUGUAUGCUGGGGCGAAAGGACAACGGCGGAUUGGAGGCAGAAAAACAGUCGCCCGCCGUUCCCACUCGCUCGAGUCACCGGGGAAAGAUGAGCAACGGAGAGAGGCCGGUUUAAUCACAGCAACCUGAAUGCAAACAGUAAAUCACCGCUGUGGCUGAUACAGUAAUGUGUGCUGGUGUUGUUUAGAGUUUCUCUUUAUUUUCUCCCCCCUCUCUUGGGCGGGGGGGGAGGGGGAUGGAGUGAUGAGAGCGGUGCAUGAGAGAUAAGGUGAGUGAAGGGAAGACAGGCCCUGCUUGGUAUUCACCUGUCUCUCUGGAUCAAUAAAGGUAAUUUGGGCUGAUUCCUCCCCGUAGGCCUCUUAGCAGACAGAAGGGGAGAGGGGUCAGCCACUGCUGAGCUGCGGGAGCUGGAAUAACUUAGAAACACACUCUGCAAAUUACUGCCCCUGUUUGAGAAUCUCUCGUUCAGCUGGUCCUCCGCCGUGACGAGAGCUGCAGUGUGAUGCAUAGUCCUCACGCAUAUGUGACUGGAGCAAUAAGACCUUGUUGUGCAGCCCUGCGGAGAGAUUCCCUUUUGUGUGUGUAGCUGCUUUCAGACACGCAAGGAAGAUAUUUUUCUUGAAUUUUACCGGAGAAGCUCUGCAGAUUUGACAAACUUCUCUUGCCAGCGCCUUAGAUAAAAUGUCCGGAAAAUGACAGAGUGACAAAAAAGGUUUAUAAAGAGGUGACGUUCACGUAGGAGACCCCAACGAAGAUGUGAGCUAGAUUCUAGAGCUUUUGGCAUUAAAGGUUCAGUGUGUAGAAUUUAGUGACAUCUAGUGGUCCAGUUGCGUGUUGCAGCUUAAUACCCUCCCCUCACCCUCCCCUUUGGGUGUGUAGUUUGUCCAGUCUGGGCUACUGUUAAA